GAUGAAGAACGUAGCGAAAUGCGAUAAGUAAUGUGAAUUGCAGAAUUCAGUGAAUCAUCGAAUCUUUGAACGCACCUUGCGCCCUUUGGCCAUUCCGAAGGGCAUGCCUGUUUGAGUAUCAUGAACACCUCAACUCUUCAUGGUUUUCCAUGAUGAGCUUGGACUUUGGGGGUCCUGCUGGCCUGUGGGUCGGCUCCUCUCAAAUGAAUCAGCUUGCCGGUUUUUGGUGGGCAUCACAGGUGUGAUAACUAUCUACGCUUGUGGUUUUCCACCAGGGUAACCUUCAGCAGUGGAGGUUCACUGGAGCUUACAAAUGUCUCUCCUCUGUGAGGACAGCCCUUUGAAUGUUUGAUCUCAAAUCAGGUAGGACUACCCGCUGAACUUAAGCAUAUCAAUAAGCGGAGGA
rnacentral:misc_RNA from 1 species